AUUGAACGCUGGCGGCAGGCCUAACACAUGCAAGUCGGGCGAGUGGCGGACGGGUGAGUAAUGUAUGGGAAUCUGCCUGAUGGCGGGGGAUAACUACUGGAAACGGUAGCUAAUACCGCAUACCAUCAGAUGAACCCAUAUGGGAUUAGCUAGUAGGUGAGGUAACGGCUCACCUAGGCGACGAUCCCUAGCUGGUCUGAGAGGAUGACCAGCCACACGGGAACUGAGACACGGCCCAGACUCCUACGGGAGGCAGCAGGGGGGAAUAUUGCACAAUGGGCGCAAGCCGGAUGCAGCCAUGCCGCGUGUAUGAAGAAGGCCUUCGGGUUGUAAAGUACUUUCAGUGGGGAGGCGUUACCGGCAGAAGAAGCACCGGCUAACUCCGUGCCAGCAGCCGCGGUAAUUC
rnacentral:rRNA from 1 species